rnacentral:misc_RNA from 1 species
AAGUCGUAACAAGGUUUCCGUAGGUGAACCUGCGGAAGGAUCAUUACCGAGUUGGGCCCUUUGGGGCCCUUACUCUCCACCCUGUGUUUACAAACCUUUGUUGCCUCGGCGGACCGCUCGCUCCGGCGGGCCCCGCCAGAGGACCAUUCAACUCUAAUGUAACCGGACGUCUGAGCAAAGAUUCAAUUAAUCAAAA